AACGCACGAGACCUGCGGACCUGCGGAGGGAUCAUUACCGAGUUAUACAACUCCCAAACCCACUGUGAACCUUACCUCAGUUGCCUCGGCGGGAACGCCCCGGCCGCCUGCCCCCGCGCCGGCGCCGGACCCAGGCGCCCGCCGCAGGGACCCCAAACUCUCUUGCAUUACGCCCAGCGGGCGGAAUUUCUUCUCUGAGUUGCACAAGCAAAAACAAAUGAAUCAAAACUUUCAGCAAUG
rnacentral:misc_RNA from 1 species